rnacentral:rRNA from 1 species
UACAGAGGUCUCAAGCGUUGUUCGGAUUCAUUGGGCGUAAAGAGCGUGUAGGCGGGUAUGCAAGUUUGGCGUGAAAGCUCCCGGCUAAACUGGGAGACUGCGUUGAAGACUGCGUAUCUAGAGGCAAGUAGAGGGACGUGGAAUUCCGGGUGUAGUGGUGAAAUGCGUAGAGAUCCGGAGGAACACCAGUGGCGAAGGCGACGUCCUGGGCUUGACCUGACGCUGAGACGCGACAGCACGGGGAGCGAACGGG